UAUGCACUCAGCCUGAGCACAGAGGCUCCAUUUUGGUUCAUUGAGGUCAGUAUUGUUCUUCUCACAUAGGAGCAAGUAUAAGAGGAACUUAAAUCCACCCUAACAUGACAUUGACUUUGGUUAAUUGUUUACAAUUUCCAGAAGUCUAACUAAGCAUGAUCUAUAAAGUACUUUGCACUACAGUAUUAACCACACAUCAAAUAACUGUUUGUGGGACUAUUUAACAUGGCUCUAUAACUUUUUGUACUCUGCUGUAAUUGACAUGCCAAUGGUUUGCAGACAAAUAAUGUAGUGAUUUGUGACUGAACAUGAACAUUACUCCUCAACUUAAAUAUUCUAUUUCUUUUAGAGGGACAUGGCACGCAUCCGAAAAUGGUGGUGCAUUAGUCUAAUGGAACGGUUCCAGAUUGACGGCCAUGGACAGAGGUUUGCAUACUGGACUAAUGAGGCCAGAGCAUUGCUCCAAGGUUCACUGCAGCCGAUAUACAGGGUCCCAAAGGUCAGCAAGAGGGAACAUGGGGUGAGCAUGAUGAUGGCAGAGGACACCCAGUGGCCUUAUCCUGUCUUGAUUAAUUCAUUAAAAAAAACAUAAGGUUGUUUUAUAUAUAUAUAUAAAACAACCUUAUGUUUUUUUUAUAAUAUCAUUUUCUUUUUUUUAUAUAAUAUAAUUUUCCUCAAAAGGUUUCGAUUAGAAAAGGAUGACAGGUGCAUCAUAUUGGAGGUAAUGUUUACUUACUGCUUACACUGUUUACUGGCUAUAUUAGCCAAUAAACAUGGCACAACACCUCCCUUUAUCCUUGCACUAUUGGACUUAUUUGCACUACCACCAUGACACACACUAUAGAGCACCUUAUGCACAAUAAUUGCCCUGUCACUGCAAGAGUCUCAUGCCUCUACAUCCCUUAGUACAGUCAUAUCAAUAUCAGGGCAAUGCGUUAUGAUAGGUGUUUUCACCAAUAAUUGUUAAUUUUCAUAUUUCUGCUAUGCUAUGAUUGUUGCCAUUUGUACAGGCAAUAGUGUAGUCAGUGUGUUGUCUUUACUAUGCUUGAUUUUGCCUGACCUGUAUUUUACAGUUACCAACGUGUGUGCUUUCUGAAAUCCUAAAUGAAGUGGUGCUACAGGAAGGAGAUAAGGCAUACUUAAGAUUGGCUCUUGUGUGUACCACCUUCAGGGACACUGUGUCCACUGACUCCUUCAGGAGACGGGCACAUUUUCAGUGGCUUGAUAGUACGUGUUUAAAUAAAGGGUGCUGUGGUAUACAAUACUUGAGUACCUCACGUGUGUUUUCACUAACCUUAUGGAAAUGUUCACUUUUGAUUGAUAAUUUGUUUUUCACAGGUGUCACUACAUGGAGCAGGUUUACUGAGUCCUAAAGAAAAUAAUUCUACACCAUGUACACCGUGGACACCUGUCGUGAAUGUGGAAUGCUUUUCAAAAACUGCACACCUGGUAAACAUCUUAACACUGGAUGGAUUUGAAUCUAUGUCAUUACACUCAGUAUUGAUGUCAUAACUACGCUUAGACCACAUCCUGAGUCUAGUGGUCACUUGUCAGUAUAAUCAUCAUUCUGUUUUUUCUUUUUCUUUUACAGGAUAUGUUGGAACAGGACAAAGGGGUGUACUUGAAGCAGUUUACUCAGAAUACCCACAUCCAGGUUACUGCGAUCACUUUUGCCGCCAAAUGCAAUAGGUAAAAAUAAGGUGUUUUUGUGUAACAAAGGGGUGUGGGGGAAAAAUAAUUGAAUAUGUAUUUGCUGCAUUUAUUUACUUAUUUUCUCUUUCAGUGAGAACGGACACGUAUACUACCUGUUGGCAGACAACCCUGAGCCAGCUGGGUGUUUUUCAAGCUGCAGGCCCCCGUGAAAAUUUGUGGCUGGAAACUUGGGAUUUAAUUUUGAAUUCUCCAGUGUUAUUACAGACUGUUAAUUAAUUGUUUAUGUCAAAAAAGAGAUGUCAUAUGUUUAAACAACCUUUGGGUGAACUUUUUGUAUAAUUUUAAAAAUGUUAAAACUAACAUCUAUUGAGAGUCUACUUUAUGCUUUUUUGGUUUUAAUAACGUCCUGUUCAAUGUGUAAUAAAAUUCAAAUCCUCUGAAUAUUGAGUCCAUUUCUGAACACUGGAGAGAUCGUGUGUACAACUGGUGAUCCGGUUUAUUGAAUGCAUUGCACCAAUAUGAUUUCUACCCAGAGCUGUACAUGAUUAUCAUUUGUUAAUAUAAUAAUACAGACAGUCUGACUUUUCCAUACCCACAGGAUUAAAGGGCCUACAUCUACGUACAGAUACUGAUCAGCAUAAAGUCCUUUGGAAUCACAUGUAAACUGCAGUGGAGGAUUUUUCUUUCAGUGCUUGGACCCAGAGAGAGCCUUCUAGUCCUCUUGUGACCAGCCCACUAUGUGACAUAGUACAUAACUUACAUCCACAUCUAC
ensembl:lncRNA